rnacentral:rRNA from 1 species
GUGCCAGCAGCCGCGGUAAUACCGGCAGCCCGAGUGAUGGCCGAUCUUAUUGGGCCUAAAGCGUCCGUAGCUGGCCGGACAAGUCCAUCGGGAAAUCCACCUGCUCAACAGGUGGGCGCCCGGUAGAAACUGCACAGCUUGGGACCGGAAGGCUCGAAGGGUACGUUCGGGGUAGGAGUGAAAUCCCAUAAUCCCGCACGGACCACCGAUGGCGAAAGCACUUCGAGAAAACGGAUCCGACAGUGAGGGACGAAAGCCAGGGUCUCCAACCGGAUUAGAAACCCCGGUAGUCC